AUGGUUACAAUUUUACAAACACAGAUAGUCAGAUACAAAUUUCUCCUAUCUCUCUCUCCGUUCAUUGAAGUUGUAUUUGCCCUUCUCUUCCUGCAUGGAUGAAGGAGUCUUUGGUGGUUCAGUUUUGCUGUCUUGAAUCUGUGAGUCUCAAGCUUGUAUACUCUAAUAACACAAUUGUGGGAAGCUUUGAAGUGUCAAUCCAUUUGACAGAGAUGCUAAUCAUGUCAUGUAAUUGCUUCUAGAUGGAUAUCCACUUUGUUGAAAUUCAAGCAUACAAAGCAAAGAUAAAUUUUGUGGAACUACAUAUUAUGGUGCUUACAACAGGGACAAUUCAAAAAACUCACCUCUGUGUCCAAUUCAAUCGUGUCCCACAAACGAUUACUUCGAUCAAUGUUGGAACCCCGAAGAAAGGUACAAGAAAAGGAGUUUUUGUUGGAGGUAAUAUAGGGGUACGUUUUACCUUCGAGGAGUGUAAAAUGUGAAACAAGCUGUGUACAUGUCUGUUACAUCAAAACUGUGGUUUUAGAAUGCCUAAGAGUAGUGUUGUCGGCUCGUGUUUAGAUUGUUUUCUACAAAAAAUGGGGUACUUUAUAGCAAUGUAUAUGGUGUGACUACAACCUAUAUGGUGUGCCAAAGUACGAGGUAGCUCGUAGCCUUACACUAUUACCAAGUCAGAUGGUUGAGCCCUGAGUUUGCUUCAGUAUGCAUUUUGGUGAAUAUCACCUGGUUAGGAACAAUUCUAAGCACUUUGCGUUGUACUGCAAGACUCGGUUGCUGGCAAAAAGAUAUGAUGAUUUGAAGAAACGGCCAAGCUUCUUCUCCCGAUAUGCUGGUGAUAUUGGAGCCAGAACUGAUGUUUUUAAAGUAGAUGUGGAAGAUUUGAUUGUGAACUAUAGCAGCUGGAUGGAUAAUGAUGAUGAUGAUGAUGGUCUGCAACAAGAAUCUCAGGAAAAUGAAGCUACAAGCUAGACAGUAUAAUCAGGUAGCUCAUAUUGAGUAACUGAACAUUUACUACAUUUGCUCCUAGGAAUUUACUUGUUCUUGUUAAUCUGAGAACAUAUCAUCUCUUGUGAUAUAUGAAGUCGAAACCGUUAAAAGAUUAAAUAAGAGAAUUUUUGCUA